rnacentral:rRNA from 1 species
GUAGGUGGCAAGCGUUGUCCGGAAUUAUUGGGCGUAAAGCGCGCGCAGGUGGUUCUUUAAGUCUGAUGUGAAAGCCCCCGGCUCAACCGGGGAGGGUCAUUGGAAACCGGGGAACUUGAGUGCAGGAGAGGAAAGUGGAAUUCCACGUGUAGCGGUGAAAUGCGUAGAUAUGUGGAGGAACACCAGUGGCGAAGGCGACUUUCUGGCCUGUAACUGACACUGAGGCGCGAAAGCGUGGGGAGCAAACAGGAUUAGAUACCCUGGUAGUCCAUGCCGUAAACGAUGAGUGCUAAGUGUUGGGGGGGUUUCCCGCCCCUCAGUGCUGCAGCUAACGCAUUAAGCACUCCGCCUGGGGAUACGGUCGCAAGACUG